rnacentral:rRNA from 1 species
GUGACUGCGUACCUUUUGUAUAAUGGGUCAGCGACUUAUAUUCUGUAGCAAGGUUAACCGAAUAGGGGAGCCGGAGGGAAACCGAGUCUUAAUUGGGCGUUAAGUUGCAGGGUAUAGACCCGAAACCCGGUGAUCUAGCCAUGGGCAGGUUGAAGGUUGGGUAACACUAACUGGAGGACCGAACCGACUAAUGUUGAAAAAUUAGCGGAUGACCUGUGGCUGGGGGUGAAAGGCCAAUCAAACCGGGAGAUAGCUGGUUCUCCCCGAAAGCUAUUUAGGUAGCGCCUCGUGAAUUCAUCUCCGGGGGUAGAGCACUGUUUCGGCUAGGGGGCCAUCCCGGCUUACCAACCCGAUGCAAAC